AUUGAACGCUGGCGGCAUGCCUUACACAUGCAAGUCGAACGGUAACGGGCCUUCGGGUGCCGACGAGUGGCGAACGGGUGAGUAAUGUAUCGGAACGUACCUUUCAGUGGGGGAUAACGUAGCGAAAGUUACGCUAAUACCGCAUAUUCUGUGCGCAGGAAAGCAGGGGAUCGCAAGACCUUGCGCUGAUUGAGCGGCCGAUAUCAGAUUAGCUAGUUGGUGAGGUAAAGGCUCACCAAGGCGACGAUCUGUAGCGGGUCUGAGAGGAUGAUCCGCCACACUGGAACUGAGACACGGUCCAGACUCCGACGGGAGGCAGCAGUGGGGAAUUUUAGAAAAUGGGGGCAACCCUGAUCCAGCCAUGCCGCGUGAGUGAAGAAGGCCUUCGGGUUGUAAAGCUCUUUCGGCCGGGAAGAAAUCGUAUCAGCUAAUACCUGGUGCGGAUGACGGUACCGGCAUAAGAAGCACCGGCUAACUACGUGCCAGCCGCCGCGGUAAAAC
rnacentral:rRNA from 1 species